CUGCAGCCCGGCGCCGCAGAACUGCUGAAGCUGGAGUGCAGCUUUGGGGACGCGCAGCUGUGCCGGGCCACCAACCUGAGCUGCGCUUUGCCCUUACCGGAGUACUGCGCUCCGCACGGCCGCCUCAACCUCACCUCCCACCUGCGCUGCCAGCAGGGCCUCCGACGGCUGCAGCCCCGCAUCUGUGCAUCGUAUGGAAUUCCCCCUCAGGAUGACGCCGUGGGCACCAAAACACUCAGCGUGGAGGCGGUCGACUCCAUCAGCGUGGCGGUGCACGCAGCGCCGGGCGGUAUGGAUACG